UCUAGCGGCGGACGGGUGAGUAACGCGUGAGCAACCUGCCUUUCACAGGGGGAUAACGCAUCGAAAGGUGCACUAAUACCGCAUGAGACCACGCUCCCGACAUGAGAGAGGGGUCAAAGGAGCAAUCCGGUGAGAGAUGGGCUCGCGUCUGAUUAGCUGGUUGGUGAGGUAACGGCCCACCAAGGCGACGAUCAGUAGCCGACCUGAGAGGGUGAUCGGCCACAUUGGAACUGAGAGACGGUCCAAACUCC
rnacentral:rRNA from 1 species